rnacentral:rRNA from 1 species
AUUGAACGCUGGCGGCAGGCCUAACACAUGCAAGUCGAACGGUAACAGGAAGAAGCUUGCUUCUUUGCUGACGAGUGGCGGACGGGUGAGUAAUGUCUGGGAAACUGCCUGAUGGAGGGGGAUAACUACUGGAAACGGUAGCUAAUACCGCAUAACGUCGCAAGACCAAAGAGGGGGACCUUCGGGCCUCUUGCCAUCGGAUGUGCCCAGAUGGGAUUAGCUAGUAGGUGGGGUAACGGCUCACCUAGGCGACGAUCCCUAGCUGGUCUGAGAGGAUGACCAGCCACACUGGAACUGAGACACGGUCCAGACUCCUACGGGAGGCAGCAGUGGGGAAUAUUGCACAAUGGGCGCAAGCCUGAUGCAGCCAUGCCGCGUGUAUGACGAAGGCCUUCGGGUUGUAAAGUACUUUCAGCGGGGAGGAAGGGAGUAAAGUUAAUACCUUUGCUCAUUGACGUUACCCGCAGAAGAAGCACCGGCUAACUACGUG